rnacentral:rRNA from 1 species
UACGGAGGGUGCGAGCGUUGUCCGGAAUCAUUGGGCGUAAGGGGCGCGUAGGUGGCGGGACAAGCGUGCGGUGAAAGCCUGGGGCUCAACCCCGGGUCGGCCGUGCGAACUGUUUUGCUUGAGCACUGUAGAGGCAGGCGGAAUUCCGGGUGUAGCGGUGGAAUGCGUAGAGAUCCGGAAGAACACCGGUGGCGAAGGCGGCCUGCUGGGCAGUAGCUGACACUGAGGCGCGACAGCGUGGGGAGCAAACAGG